rnacentral:tRNA from 1 species
UUAGUAAUAGUUAAAACAUAACAAUAACUUGCAAAGUUGGAGUUGCUCUUCCGCUUACUAAU